rnacentral:rRNA from 1 species
GAUGAACGCUGGCGGCGUGCCUAAUACAUGCAAGUCGAGCGAACGGAUGAGAAGCUUGCUUCUCCGAUGUUAGCGGCGGACGGGUGAGUAACACGUGGAUAACCUACCUAUAAGACUGGGAUAACUUCGGGAAACCGGAGCUAAUACCGGAUAAUAUUUUGAACCGCAUGGUUCAAAAGUGAAAGACGGUCUUGCUGUCACUUAUAGAUGGAUCCGCGCUGCAUUAGCUAGUUGGUAAGGUAACGGCUUACCAAGGCAACGAUGCAUAGCCGACCUGAGAGGGUGAUCGGCCACACUGGAACUGAGACACGGUCCAGACUCCUACGGGAGGCAGCAGUAGGGAAUCUUCCGCAAUGGGCGAAAGCCUGACGGAGCAACGCCGCGUGAGUGAUGAAGGUCUUCGGAUCGUAAAACUCUGUUAUUAGGGAAGAACAUAUGUGUAAGUAACUGUGCACAUCUUGACGGUACCUAAUCAGAAAGCCACGGCUAACUACGUG